rnacentral:rRNA from 1 species
UGGUAAUGCCGGAUGCUCCAUCACACUGCAUGGUGUGUUGGGAAAGCCUUUGCGGCAUGGGAUGGGGUCGCGUCCUAUCAGCUUGAUGGCGGGGUAACGGCCCACCAUGGCUUCGACGGGUAGCCGGCCUGAGAGGGCGACCGGCCACAUUGGGACUGAGAUACGGCCCAGACUCCUACGGGAGGCAGCAGUGGGGAAUAUUGCACAAUGGGCGCAAGCCUGAUGCAGCGACGCCGCGUGAGGGAUGGAGGCCUUCGGGUUGUAAACCUCUUUUGUUAGGGAGCAAGGCAUUUUGUGUUGAGUGUACCUUUCGAAUAAGCACCGGCUAACUACGUGCCAGCAGCCGCGGUAAUACGUAGGGUGCAAGCGUUAUCCGGAAUUAUUGGGCGUAAAGGGCUCGUAGGCGGUUCGUCGCGUCCGGUGUGAAAGUCCAUCGCUUAACGGUGGAUCCGCGCCGGGUACGGGCGGGCUUGAGUGCGGUAGGGGAGACUGGAAUUCCCGGUGUAACGGUGGAAUGUGUAGAUA